UACGUAGGGGGCGAGCGUUGUCCGGAAUUAUUGGGCGUAAAGAGCGUGUAGCCGGUUCUACGAGUCUUCCGUUAAAUCCAACUGCUUAACAGGUGGGCUGCGGAAGAUACUAUAGAGCUAGGAGGCGGGAGAGGCGAGCGGUACUCGAUGGGUAGGGGUAAAAUCCGUUGAUCCAUUGAAGACCACCAGUGGCGAAGGCGGCUUGCCAGAACGCGCUCGACGGUGAGGGAUGAAAGCUGGGGGAGCAAACCGG
rnacentral:rRNA from 1 species